rnacentral:lncRNA from 1 species
ACGAACCAGAAGCCGGCCGCCGCCACCCGCCGCCGCACCGGAGGAACUUCCGACCGCCGAUCGAGGUAAAUUUCGUACCCCCGACUCGUUUUUCCACGCUGAUUCCUCCUGUGGCCAAAUCGGAGCCAAAAUCCCGGCCAAACGGCCGGAAUGCACGGCCGAAGCCCAGCGGCGCCGCCGCGCCCUUCUCGGUUUUUGCCUCCGAUGAGGCCCUUCCCGGCAUCCGUUUGAUGCAAUUUUUAUAUCACCGUGAUCACCACUCUUUUCUCUACAGGUUGACCAGAGCCGAAUCACCAAAACACGAACCUCGCCGGAGAGCCGCC